rnacentral:rRNA from 1 species
AGCAGCCGCGGUAAUUCCAGCUCCAAUAGCGUAUAUUAAAGUUGUUGCAGUUAAAAAGCUCGUAGUUGAAUUUCGGGGUCAGUAGGUUGGUCGUGCCACGGGUAUGAACUGGUCUCACUGAUUCCUCCUUCCUGAUGAACCGUAAUGCCAUUAAUUUGGUGUUGCGGGGAGACUGGACUGUUACUUUGAAAAAAUUGAGUGUUUAAAGCAGGCUAACGCUUGAAUACAUUAGCAUGGAAUAAUGAAAUAGGACGUUCGGUCUUAUUUUGUUGGUUUCUAAGAUUGACGUAAUGAUUAAUAGGGAUAGUUGGGGGCAUUAGUAUUCAAUUGUCAGAGGAGAAAUUCUUGGAUUUAUUGAAGACUAACUACUGCGAAAGCACUUGCCAAGGAUGUUUUCAUUAAUCAAGAACGAAGUUAGGGAUCGAAGACGAUCAGAUACCGUCGUAGUCUUAACCAUAAACUAUGACCGACUAGGGAUCGGAUGAUGUUAAUUUUUAUGACUUCGAUUCGGCGCCUUACG